GACGAACGCUGGCGGCGUGCCUAAUACAUGCAAGUCGGACGCUUCUUUUUCCACCUGGUGCUUGCACCAACCGGAGAAAGAGGAGUGGCGGACGGGUGAGUAACACGUGGGUAACCUGCCCAUUAGAAGGGGAUAACACUUGGAAACAGGUGCUAAUACCGUAUAAUUCUUACGACCGCAUGGUCGUUUGUAUAAAAGAACGCUUUCGGGUUGGUCACUAAUGGAUGGACCCGCCGCUGCAUUAGUUAGUUGGUGAGGUAACGGCGUCACCAAGACCAUGAUGCAUAGCCGACCCUGAGAGGGUGAUCGGCCACACUGGGGACUGAGACACGGCCCGACGACUCCUACGGGAGGGCAGCAGUAGGGGAAUCUUCGGCAAUGGACAAAGUCUGACCGAGCAACG
rnacentral:rRNA from 1 species